rnacentral:rRNA from 1 species
CGCGGCCUAUCAGCUUGUUGGUGGGGUAAUGGCCUACCAAGGCUUCGACGGGUAGCCGGCCUGAGAGGGUGACCGGCCACACUGGGACUGAGACACGGCCCAGACUCCUACGGGAGGCAGCAGUGGGGAAUAUUGGACAAUGGGCGGAAGCCUGAUCCAGCAACGCCGCGUGAGGGAUGACGGCCUUCGGGUUGUAAACCUCUUUCACCGAUGACGAAGCGUGAGUGACGGUAGUCGGAGAAGAAGCACCGGCCAACUACGUGCCAGCAGCCGCGGUAAUACGUAGGGUGCGAGCGUUGUCCGGAAUUAUUGGGCGUAAAGGGCUCGUAGGCGGUUUGUCGCGUCGGGAGUGAAAACCCAGGGCUUAACCCUGGGCUGGCUUUCGAUACGGGCAGACUAGAGGUAUGCAGGGGAGAACGGAAUUCCUGGUGUAGCGGUGAAAUGCGCAGAUAUCAGGAGGAACACCGGUGGCGAAGGCGGUUCUCUGGGCAUUACCUGACGCUGAGGAGCGAAGGUGUGGGGAGCGAACAGGAUUAGAUACCCUGGUAGUCCACACCGUAAACGUUGGGCGCUAGGUGUGGGGUCCAUUCCACGGAUUCCGUGCCGCAGCUAACGCAUUAAGCGCCCCGCCUGGGGAGUACGG